CUCGGCAACGGAUAUCUCGGCUCUCGCAUCGAUGAAGAACGUAGCGAAAUGCGAUACUUGGUGUGAAUUGCAGAAUCCCGUGAACCAUCGAGUCUUUGAACGCAAGUUGCGCCCGAAGCCAUUAGGCUGAGGGCACGUCUGCCUGGGUGUCACGC
rnacentral:rRNA from 1 species